rnacentral:rRNA from 1 species
AAUGAACGUUGGCGGCGUGGAUUAGGCAUGCAGGUCGUGCGAUAACCCCGCAAGGGGGGAAAGCGGCGAAAGGGAGAGUAACGCGUGGGUACCUGCCCCUUGGUCCGGAAUAGCUGCGGGAAACUGCAGGUAAUGCCGGAUAAUAUCCUCGGAUCAAAGGUGUGAUUCCGCCGAGGGAGGGGCCCGCGUUCUAUUAGCUAGUUGGUAGGGUAAUGGCCUACCAAGGCGACGAUGGAUACCGGGUGUGAGAGCAUGACCCGGCUCACUGGGACUGAGACACUGCCCAGACACCUACGGGUGGCUGCAGUCGAGAAUCUUCGGCAAUGGGCGCAAGCCUGACCGAGCGACGCCGCGUGCGGGAUGAAGGCCUUCGGGUUGUAAACCGCUGUCGUAGAGGAGGAAAUGCCAUGGGGUUCUCUCCAUGGUUUGACCUAUUCUAGGAGGAAGGACGGGCUAAGUUCGUGCCAGCCGCCGCCGUAA